rnacentral:rRNA from 1 species
CCUACGGGAGGCAGCAGUGGGGAAUUUGGACAAUGGGCGAAAGCCUGAUCCAGCAAUGCCGCGUGAGUGAAGAAGGCCUUCGGGUUGUAAAGCUCUUUUAGUCAGGGAAGAAACGGUGAGGGCUAAUAUCUCUUGCUAAUGACGGUACCUGAAGAAUAAGCACCGGCUAACUACGUGCCAGCAGCCGCGGUAAUACGUAGGGUGCAAGCGUUAAUCGGAAUUACUGGGCGUAAAGCGUGCGCAGGCGGUUUUGAAGUCUGUCGUGAAAUCCCCGGGCUCAACCUGGGAACUUGCGAUGGAGACUGCAAGGCUAGAAUCUGGCAGAGGGGGGUAGAAUUCCACGUGUAGCAGUGAAAUGCGUAGAGAUGUGGAGGAACACCGAUGGCGAAGGCAGCCCCCUGGGUCAAGAUUGACGCUCAUGCACGAAAGCGUGGGGAGCAAACAGGAUUAGGAUACCCUAGGUAGUCCACGCCCUAAACCGAUGUCUACUAGUUGUACGGGUUUUAAUUAACUUGGUUAACGUCAGCGUACGUCGUGAGUAGACGCCGCGGAGGUACGGUACGCGAGAGUAAACGUACGUAACUAGAGUAGUACGGCGUGAGACGUAGACGACGGACGACGACGAGGGAGGAGGAG